AACGGGGCGAAGGGCCGGACCCAACGGUCGAAGGCGUCAGUGAUUGGGGUG
rnacentral:rRNA from 1 species